UACGUAGGGAGCGAGCGUUGUCCGGAAUUAUUGGGCGUAAAGAGCUUGUAGGCGGUCUGUCGCGUCUGCUGUGAAAAUCCGGGGCUCAACCCCGGACUUGCAGCGGGUACGGGCAGACUAGAGUGUGGUAGGGGAGACUGGAAUUCCUGGUGUAGCGGUGAAAUGCGCAGAUAUCAGGAGGAACACCGAUGGCGAAGGCAGGUCUCUGGGCCACUACUGACGCUGAGAAGCGAAAGCAUGGGGAGCGAACAGG
rnacentral:rRNA from 1 species